rnacentral:rRNA from 1 species
AACGUAGGUGGCGAGCGUUAUCCGGAUUUACUGGGCGUAAAGGGCGCGUAGGCGGUCAGCACAAGUCAGUUGUGAAAUCUCCGGGCUUAACUCGGAAAGGUCAACUGAUACUGUGCGACUAGAGUGCAGAAGGGGCAACUGGAAUUCUCGGUGUAGCGGUGAAAUGCGUAGAUAUCGAGAGGAACACCUGCGGCGAAGGCGGGUUGCUGGGCUGACACUGACGCUGAGGCGCGAAAGCCAGGGGAGCGAACGGG